UAAAAAAAAAAAAAAAAGGUAAGAUGGAGCUGAGAGACACAUCAGACCAGACCAGGGACAACUGUACAUUUCUGGCAUUAUGUACAUUAAUGUUAGCAGGGAGCUGUACAUACCUCAACAUAGUGACUGAGUUUCAUUGAGACGUAUACACAUUAUGGUUCCACAGCAGCAUAGCUGUGGUAUAUACUGUACAUUAAUGUUAGCAGGGAACUGUACUGCUGGAAUACCUCAACAUAGUGACUGAGUUUCAUUGAGACGUAUACACAUUAUGGUUCCACGGCAGCCUAGCUGUGGUAUAUACUGUACAUACCGGGACAAAUAUACGUCAAUAUUAUAGAAGACAUCAUUUAGACUCUAAAAAAGGGUUCUUGUUUUUCCCCUCCAAAGCAGGUACCGGGUUAAAGCCGGUGUGAUGACAUCGGCCAAGAACGAACAGCGUUAUCGUUACUCUACUCUUACCGCAAACCAACGCUUCAACCCCACGUCCACCCCAUUUAGAAGGCAGGUUCUGUUGGUAUGUUUACAGGGCGGUACAGAGACACACAGGGUGAUCAAUUAAUCAGUGAUUCAACUCUGAUUGGGAAUCAUUCUACCACUCUAAAGGGAGGAGGGGGAGGGGGAGGGGGGGGUAAUGCUAGAGGAUAAUGUACCAUUCGAUAAGAAUCACCUCAGAUAUACUGUGUAUUCCCCAUGUUGAUACUAGAGCAUACAGUAUGUUGGCUUAGCCCGUAGACCACUUGGUCUCAGAGACGAUACUUCACAGUACAGUUUGGAGACAUAUUUCUGCUUCGAAUGGAAACUUCCAGCCACAUAUUUCUGCCCUGGAUGGAAACUUCCAGCCACAGAUUUCUGCCCCGGAUGGAAACUUCCAGCCACAGAUUUCUGCCCCGGAUGGAAACUUCCAGCCACAGAUUUCUGCUUCGAAUGGAAACUUCCAGCCACAGAUUUCUGCUUCGAAUGGAAACUUCCAGCCACAGAUUUCUGCUUCAAAUGGAAACGUCCAGCCACAGAUUUCUGCCCCGGAUGGAAACGUCCAGCCACAGAUUUCUGCUAGCAGCAGUGUUUUCUACAUCUUGUGUGAUCAAACGAGGAUCAAGACGACCAAACUUAACACGGUGGAGGACUGCAACAUUCCUACAGGAUUCCUCAAAUAGAGCAUAGAGGAAUUAUCAUGUGAUCGUUGGUAUGGACUUCAGAGGCCCUCGUUGACACAUAUGAACACAGUCUACUGUUAUGAACACAGUCUACUGUUAUGAACACAGUCUACUGUACUGGACAUUAUGAACACAGUCUACUGUAGUGGACAUUAUGAACACAGUCUACUGUACUGGACAUUAUGAACACAGUCUACUGUACUGGACAUUAUGAACACAGUCUACUGUACUGGACAUUAUGAACACAGUCUACUGUUAUGAACACAGUCUACUGUACUGGACAUUAUGAACACAGUCUACUGUACUGGACAUUAUGAACACAGUCUACUGUA
ensembl:lncRNA